AUUGAACGCUGGCGGCAUGCUUUACACAUGCAAGUCGAACGGUAACAGGGAGCUUGCUCCGCUGACGAGUGGCGAACGGGUGAGUAAUGCGUCGGAACGUGCCGAGUAGUGGGGGAUAACGCAUCGAAAGGUGUGCUAAUACCGCAUACGUACUGAGGUAGAAAGUGGGGGACCUUCGGGCCUCACGCUAUUCGAGCGGCCGACGUCUGAUUAGCUAGUUGGUGAGGUAAAGGCUCACCAAGGCGACGAUCAGUAGCGGGUCUGAGAGGAUGAUCCGCCACACUGGGACUGAGACACGGCCCAGACUCCGACGGGAGGCAGCAGUGGGGAAUUUUGGACAGUGGGCGCGAGCCUGAUCCAGCCAUGCCGCGUGUCUGAAGAAGGCCUUCGGGUUGUAAAGGACUUUUGUCCGGGAGCAAAUGCCUGGUGUUAAUAGCAUCGGGAGCUGAGAGUACCGGAAGAAUAAGCACCGGCUAACUACGUGCCAGCCGCCGCCGUAAAAC
rnacentral:rRNA from 1 species